UACAGGGGGUGCAAACGUUGCUCGGAAUUACUGGGCGUAAAGCGCACGUAGGCGGCUUUCUAAGUCGGGGGUGAAAUCCUGGAGCUCAACUCCAGAACUGCCUUCGAUACUGGAGAGCUUGAGUCCGGGAGAGGUGAGUGGAACUGCGAGUGUAGAGGUGAAAUUCGUAGAUAUUCGCAAGAACACCAGUGGCGAAGGCGGCUCACUGGCCCGGUACUGACGCUGAGGUGCGAAAGCGUGGGGAGCAAACAGG
rnacentral:rRNA from 1 species